rnacentral:rRNA from 1 species
UACGAAGGGGGCUAGCGUUGUUCGGAAUUACUGGGCGUAAAGGCUGGUAGGCGGCCAACUAAGUCGGAUGUGAAAUCCCCAGGCUUAACCUGGGAACUGCAUCCGAUACUGGUCGGCUUGAAUCCGGGAGAGGGAUGCAGAAUUCCAGGUGUAGCGGUGAAAUGCGUAGAUAUCUGGAGGAAUACCGGUGGCGAAGGCGGCAUCCUGGACCGGCAUUGACGCUGAACAGCGAAAGCUAGGGGAGCAAACGGG